UUUUAUCUGCUUGGUUUUAACAUAUGCGAUGUGCUAUGUGCCUAUGUAUGUUAUACUGUCGAGUAAAUCGUUACUAUUGGUAGUCGCACGCCGUUAGCAUUAGCGUUAGCCCAAACAAACUUGGUUGCCAUGGUCGUUGAAUUCUAUGAAUGAAUGCUAUGCUAUGCUAGGUGAUUGUGUAGGUCAUUGUGUUAAUGUAAGUGGAAACACUUAGUGAAAUGAAGAAUGAGCUGUGUUAAUGUUUUCAGUUCAUUGAACAGCACUUUAAUUGCAGUAUGCACUUUUAAAUAGAAUCGGAUGUUUGUACCGUGCCCAGGUUUCCCCUAGGCCUGAGGCCGGUAACAUAGGCAUGGAGAGGCCAGGACUACAGAGACAGGACAGUGUGAAUUCGAGAGCAAUCCCCUGCUCCAUCAUUUUCUGCUGGAUCUGAGGAACAGAAGAUGCUUUAUUACUAUAUAAUGCAGGAUGAAGAAACUGAUGUGCUGGGAUUAGUUUAUAACUGGUAGAGAAAGUAGAUCCAGCAGCAGCAGACGAUGAUUACACCUCAGCCUGUGGAUCAGACCCUGAUGGAGACCUGCUACUUUAAAAAGGAGGAACUGUCCCAGCAGAACCUUGUAAAGAAACCCACCUUCUGCAAGAUUCCAUCCUGUACUGCAGGAUCGUUCAUGUCCUCAUUCGUCUGAACCUUUAACCUCAGGACGUGGUCCUUUGUGACUGGUUAAACACAAAAAACAGAUACCAAUGAAACUAAUAUUAUAAA